CCUACGGGGGGCAGCAGUGGGGGAUAUUGCACAAUGGGGGAAACCCUGAUGCAGCGACGCCGCGUGGGUGAAGAAGCGCCUCGGCGCGUAAAGCCCUGUCAGCAGGGAGGAAAAUGACGGUACCUGAAGAAGAAGCCCCGGCUAACUACGUGCCAGCAGCCGCGGUAAUACGUAGGGGGCAAGCGUUAUCCGGAUUUACUGGGUGUAAAGGGGGCGCAGACGGCGAUGCAAGCCAGGAGUGAAAGCCCGGGGCCCAACCCCGGGACUGCUCUUGGAACUGCGUGGCUAGAGUGCAGGAGGGGCAGGCGGAAUUCCUGGUGUAGCGGUGAAAUGCGUAGAGAUCAGGAGGAACACCGGUGGCGAAGGCGGCCUGCUGGACUGCAACUGACGUUGAGGCGCGAAAGCGUGGGGAGCAAACAGGAUUAGAUACCCCUGUAGUC
rnacentral:rRNA from 1 species